rfam:Magnaporthe oryzae 70-15 chromosome 7, whole genome shotgun sequence.
UCUUUGUUAGUAUAGUGGUCAGUAUGCAAGCUUGUCACGCUUGAGACCCGGGUUCAAUUCCCGGACAGAGAG